rnacentral:lncRNA from 9 species
CAACUCAUCAUAUGUUAUUCACUGAAAUUCAUGUCACAGAUGCUGGGAACAUAGUGUUGGAGACAUCAGGAGAAUUCAAGCUCCAAUCUUAGCAACUAUGUAAAGUGUCAUCCAGUUUUAUGUGAGAGUAUUUGGGCUUGCAGAAUCUAGAAGAAAGGGACAGAUGUUACUGCACCUGUAAUCUGAAGAAGAUAAAAAUCCACCUUAGUUAUGUUCACAUAAAUCCAGGGGUUGGGGGAAGUAAACUGAAAAAGAAAUCCUUACUUUAGAAGCUC